GACGUGGGGCGGAUCCCUGAAAACCGGUCUCAGUUCGGAUCGCAGUCUGCAACUCGACUGCGUGAAGGUGGAGUCGCUAGUAAUCGCGGAUCAGCAACGCCGCGGUGAAUGCGUUCCCGGGCCUUGUACACACCGCCCGUCAAGUCAUGAAAGUGGGCAGCACCCGAAGACGGUGGCCUAACCCUUGUGGGGGGAGCCGUCUAAGGUGAGGCUCGUGAUUGGGACUAAGUCGUAACAAGGUACC
rnacentral:rRNA from 1 species